GCAAAAGAGUGGGAAGAUCUUUGAGUAGAGGUGACAGACCUACCGAGCUCAGUUAUAGCUGGUUGCCUACAAAAAGAAUAGAAGUUCAGCCUUUACACUUCUUCUCUCAAAACUGCAUAUACUAAUAAGUGACACAAAGAAGUUAAAAGAGUUAUUCAAGGGGGGAACAGCCCCCUUGAAAAAAGAUACAACUUUAUUUAGAAGGCUAAAGAUUAAAAUACCCCAGGCAAAUAUACCUUGGUGGGCCUAAAAGCAGCCAUCCAUAUAGAAAGCGUUAAAGCUCAAGUACUUUGCCCCUCCCUAAUUUCAAUAAUUCAAUCUUAAGCCCCUUAAUUAAUAGUAGGCCUUUUCAUGCACCCAUGAAAGAGAUACUGCUGAGAUGAGUAAUAAGAGGACCGCUCCUCUCCCCAACACUUGUAUAAUUCAGAACGAACCCCCACUGAAAAUUAACGCCCCCAACUAAAAGAGGGGCCUGGGAAAGCCCAAAAUAAACUAGAAGCUCACCCAACAAUUAGCGUUAACCCUACGCAGGUGUGUUUUAAGGAAAGACUAAAAGAAAAAGAAGGAACUCGGCAAACACUGGCCUCGCCUGUUUACCAAAAACAUCGCCUCUUGCAACAAACGUAUAAGAGGUCCCGCCUGCCCUGUGACUUACUAGUUUAACGGCCGCGGUAUUUUGACCGUGCGAAGGUAGCGUAAUCACUUGUCUUUUAAAUGGAGACCUGUAUGAAUGGCACAACGAGGGCUAAGCUGUCUCCUUUUUCCAGUCAAUGAAAUUGAUUUUCCCGUGCAGAAGCGGGAAUAUAAACAUAAGACGAGAAGACCCUAUGGAGCUUAAGACACAAGGCAGCCCAUGUAAAACACCUGGCUCAACAGAAUUAACCAAGUGGCCCCUGCCCUUUUGUCUUUGGUUGGGGCGACCGCGGGGGAACAAAAAUCCCCCACGUGGAAUGGGGCCAACCCCCCUAAAGCCAGAGCCACAGCUCUAGCUAGCAGAACAUCUGACCUACAAGAUCCGGCAAAGCCGAUCAACGGACCGAGUUACCCUAGGGAUAACAGCGCAAUCCCCUUUUAGAGCCCAUAUCGACGAGGGGGUUUACGACCUCGAUGUUGGAUCAGGACAUCCUAAUGGUGCAGCCGCUA
rnacentral:rRNA from 1 species